CCUACGGGUGGCUGCAGUGAGGAAUAUUGGUCAAUGGGCGCGAGCCUGAACCAGCCAAGUCGCGUGAAGGAUGAAUGCCCUACGGGUUGUAAACUUCUUUUAUAAAGGAAUAAAGUGAGGAACGUGUGCCUUUUUGUAUGUACUUUAUGAAUAAGCAUCGGCUAACUCCGUGCCAGCAGCCGCGGUAAUACGGAGGAUCCGAGCGUUAUCCGGAUUUAUUGGGUUUAAAGCGAGCGUAGGUGGGUUGUUAAGUCAGUGGUGAAAGUUUGGGGCUCAACCAUAAAAUUGCAAUUGAUACUGGUAGUCUUGAGUAUAUUUGAGGUAGGCGGAAUGCGUGGUGUAGCGGUGAAAUGCAUAGAUAUCACGCAGAACUCCGAUUGCGAAGGCAGCUUACUAAACUGUAACUGACACUGAUGCACGAAAGUGUGGGGAUCAAACAGGAUUAGAUACCCUGGUAGUC
rnacentral:rRNA from 1 species